GUCUCACCUUCCACCAGAUUCCAAGAAGAUUUCAAACAAUUUGGGGUGUGGGGGAAGUGUUUUAUAAUGAUUUCUGUUCUUUUUGUGAUUGCUAAAAAGUCAUUUUCACCAUCAUUGUGUGUGUUUUCUCACAUGAUGACUUCACAUGAGGACACACUGUAAGUGUAAAGGCAUCCAAGAACAUGCUACGGUUGGGGAUCACAUCUCCCUGAGGCACAGAGGACUGCUCUGUUUGUUCAGAGACAAGGUCUUGCUCUGUCACCGAGGCUAGAAUGCAGUGGCACCAUCAGGGCUCACUGUACUCUUGAACUUCUAGGCUCAAGGGAUCCUCCCACCUCAGCCAACCAAGUAGCUGGGACCACAGGCACCACCAUACCCUGAUGGACAAACAGAUGGACCCUGCAGCCAGGUGGAAUGUCAGAGGUGGAGGGGAAACCCUGGGACACUGAUGGGCCUGGAUCCUCUCCAGCCUCUCCCCUGCAGUGUCCACACAACUGCCCUGAGUGGUAGCGUCUUGUUUAGGCACUUCUGAGAGCUGAGCUGGAUGAGUGCACUUGGGACACUUGGUGACAGGUACUUGCAAGCAUGAUCAGGGUCAGCCUCAAUACAGGCAGAAAUCCUGGGUAUUUAAAAAUACUUUUUUGAUUCAGAUCAUGGUGUGAUUGCAGAGCAACACUGUGUUGAGAACUGGAGGAAGGCAGAGCUGUGGUGCGGGCAGCUCUUCUCAACUCUUUAAAGCAAGGUUUGCUCACCAAGGUGCUGACUCAUGUCUCUCACCCCUGCCCAUAUAUAGCAUUACAAAGUGAACAGGCCAGGUGUGGUGGCUUACGCCUGUAAUCCCAGCACUUUGGGAGGCCGAGGCGGGCAGAUCACGAGGUCAGGAGAUCGAGACUAUCCUGGUUAACACAGUGAAACACCAUCUCUACU
rnacentral:lncRNA from 10 species